rnacentral:rRNA from 1 species
GACGUAGGGCGCGAGCGUUGUCCGGAUUUAUUGGGCGUAAAGAGCUCGUAGGCGGCUUGUCGCGUCGUCCGUGAAAACCUGCAGCUCAACUGCAGGCUUGCGGUCGAUACGGGCAGGCUAGAGUUCGGUAGGGGAGACUGGAAUUCCUGGUGUGAGCGGUGAAAUGCGCAGAUAUCAGGAGGAACACCGGUGGCGAAGGCGGGUCUCUGGGCCGUAAGCUGGACGCUGAGGAGCGAAAGCGUGGGGAGCGAACAGG